UACGGGGGGGGCAAGCGUUGUUCGGAAUUACUGGGCGUAAAGGGCUCGUAGGCGGCCAACUAAGUCAGACGUGAAAUCCCUCGGCUUAACCGGGGAACUGCGUCUGAUACUGGAUGGCUUGAGAUUGGGAGAGGGAUGCGGAAUUCCAGGUGUAGCGGUGAAAUGCGUAGAUAUCUGGAGGAACACCGGUGGCGAAGGCGGCAUCCUGGACCGGUAUUGACGCUGAGGCGCGAAAGCUAGGGGAGCAAACGGG
rnacentral:rRNA from 1 species